rnacentral:rRNA from 1 species
UACAGAGGGGGCAAGCGUUGUUCGGAAUUACUGGGCGUAAAGGGCGCGUAGGCGGCCCGCUAAGUCGAACGUGAAAUCCCCAGGCUUAACCUGGGAACUGCGUCCGAUACUGGCAGGCUUGAAUCCGGGAGAGGGAUGUGGAAUUCCCGGUGUAGCGGUGAAAUGCGCAGAUAUCGGGAGGAACACCAGUAGCGAAGGCGGCACUCUGGGCCGGUACUGACGCUGAGGAGCGAAAGCGUGGGGAGCGAACAGG